rnacentral:SRP_RNA from 1 species
UGUCGGCCCCCACGCAAUGUUAAGUUAUGAACUCCGCCAGGCCCGGAAGGGAGCAACGGUAGUAGCUGAUGCAUGUGCAGUGGAGUGGCUGGCAAGG